GACGAACGCUGGCGGCGUGCUUAACACAUGCAAGUCGAACGGAAAGGCCCUGCUUUUGUUGGGUGCUGGAGUGGCGAACGGGUGAGUAACACGUGAGUAACCUGCCCUUCACUUUUGGUUAACUUCAGGGAACUGGGGCUAAUACCGUAUAGGAUCUCCUGCUGCAUUGUGGGGAUUGGAAAGGUUCGGCGGUUGUGUCUGUACUCGCGGGUUAUCAGCUUGUUGGUGGGGUAGUGGCUUACCACGGCUUUGACGGGGAGACGGCCUGAGAGGGUGACCGGCCAGAUUGGGACUGAGAUACGGCCCAGCCUCCUACGGGAGGCCGCAGUGGGGAAUAUUGCACAGUGGGCGGAAGCCUGAUGCAGCAACGCCGCGUGCGGGAUGACGGCCUUCGGGUUGUAAACCGCUUUCGCCUGUGACGAAGCGGGAGUGACGGUAAUGGGUAAAGAAGCACCGGCUAACUACGUG
rnacentral:rRNA from 1 species